UUUUUGGCUUUAAAACCAUAGAUUAAGCCCCCAACCUCUCCUGAGGGUCGCUUUACACAAGUACUUUCUGUUGGAAUUGGAGGUUCUGCCCUUGGACCACAGUUUGUUGCAGAGGCGUUGGCUCCUGAUAAUCCUCCUCUCAAGAUAAGGUUCAUUGACAAUACAGAUCCAGCUGGCAUUGAUCAUCAGAUUGCACAGCUUGGCCCUGAGUUGGCUUCUACGCUUGUAAUAGUUAUAUCAAAGAGUGGAGGCACUCCAGAAACAAGAAAUGGUUUAUUGGAAGUACAAAAAGCAUUCCGUGAAGCUGGCCUGGAUUUUGCAAAACAGGUUUUCAUCUCAGGUUCUUGUUUCUGCUUUUAUUUAGUUUUCUCAGCUCUUCAGAGUGUAAAUGAAAUAUACUCCCUAUUAUUAUUAUUGGUUUGAAAAUAGAGUAAAGUUUCUUACUGAUUAGCUUUUAGCUCUGCCAAAAUUUUUGGGUCCAUUUGUCCACUAUGGUCAAAUGUCUGAGACUCUUAUGCACAAGGAACUUUUUUUCUUCAGACUUUCUUACUUUUCAUGCUACAUGGUCUUUGCAAUUGGCUUGAUUCGUAUGGAUUAGGGAUGUUUAAAUUGUAUUAUAGGUCCUAAGAGUGACUUGAUUUUGUUGUUUAUC